rnacentral:rRNA from 1 species
GGAAUUUUGGGCAAUGGGGGCAACCCUGACCCAGCAACGCCGCGUGGAGGACGAAGGUUUUCGGAUCGUAAACUCCUGUCCCGAGGGAAGAAGAAGUGACGGUACCUUGGGAGGAAGACCCGGCUAACUCCGUGCCCGCAGCCGCGGUAAUACGGGGGGGGCAAGCGUUGUUCGGAAUUAUUGGGCGUAAAGGGCGCGCAGGCGGCCAGGGAAGUCAAGGGUGAAAGCCCCCGGCUCAACCGGGGAGUUGCCAAUGAAACCACCUGGCUGGAGUGCUGGAGAGGAAAGCGGAAUUCCCAGUGUAGCGGUGAAAUGCGUAGAUAUUGGGAGGAACAUCUGUGGCGAAGGCGGCUUUCUGGACAGACACUGACGCUGAGGCGCGAAAGCCAGGGGAGCAAAC